ACUCCUACGGGAGGCAGCAGUGGGGAAGUCUUGGACAAUGGGCGCAAGCCUGAUCCAGCCAUGCCGCGUGAGUGAUGAAGGCCCUAGGGUCGUAAAGCUCUUUCGCCAGGGAUGAUAAUGACAGUACCUGGUAAAGAAACCCCGGCUAACUCCGUGCCAGCAGCCGCGGUAAUACGGAGGGGGUUAGCGUUGUUCGGAAUUACUGGGGCGUAAAGCGCGCGUAGGCGGACUGGAAAGUUGGGGGUGAAAUCCCGGGGGCUCAACCCCGGAACUGCCUCCAAAACUCCCAGUCUUGAGUUCGAGAGAGGUGAGUGGAAUUCCGAGUGUAGAGGUGAAAUUCGUAGAUAUUCGGAGGAACACCAGUGGCGAAGGCGGCUCACUGGCUCGAUACUGACGCUGAGGUGCGAAAGUGUGGGGAGCAAACAGGAUUAGAUACCCUGGUAGCGACUGA
rnacentral:rRNA from 1 species